rnacentral:rRNA from 1 species
GCUCAGGAUGAACGCUGGCGGCGUGCUUAACACAUGCAAGUCGAACGAUGACUUUUGUGCUUGCACAGAAUGAUUAGUGGCGAACGGGUGAGUAACACGUGAGUAACCUGCCCUUGACUCUGGGAUAAGCCUGGGAAACUGGGUCUAAUACUGGAUAUGCACCGUGAACCGCAUGGUUUUUGGUGGAAAGAUUUAUUGGUCAAGGAUGGACUCGCGGCCUAUCAGCUUGUUGGUGAGGUAAUGGCUCACCAAGGCGACGACGGGUAGCCGGCCUGAGAGGGUGACCGGCCACACUGGGACUGAGACACGGCCCAGACUCCUACGGGAGGCAGCAGUGGGGAAUAUUGCACAAUGGGCGAAAGCCUGAUGCAGCGACGCCGCGUGAGGGAUGACGGCCUUCGGGUUGUAAACCUCUUUCAGUAGGGAAGAAGCGAAAGUGACGGUACCUGCAGAAGAAGCGCCGGCUAACUACGUGCCAGCAGCCGCGGUAAUACGUAGGGCGCAAGCGUUAUCCGGAAUUAUUGGGCGUAAAGAGCUCGUAGGCGGUUUGUCGCGUCUGCCGUGAAAGUCCGAGGCUCAACUUCGGAUCUGCGGUGGGUACGGGCAGACUAGAGUGAUGUAGGGGAGACUGGAAUUCCUGGUGUAGCGGUGAAAUGCGCAGAUAUCAGGAGGAACACCGAUGGCGAAGGCAGGUCUCUGGGCAUCUACUGACGCUGAGGAGCGAAAGCAUGGGGAGCGAACAGGAUUAGAUACCCUGGUAGUCCAUGCCGUAAACGUUGGGCACUAGGUGUGGGGGACAUUCCACGUUUUCCGCGCCGUAGCUAACGCAUUAAGUGCCCCGCCUGGGGAGUACGGCCGCAAGGCUAAAACUCAAAGGAAUUGACGGGGGCCCGCACAAGCGGCGGAGCAUGCGGAUUAAUUCGAUGCAACGCGAAGAACCUUACCAAGGCUUGACAUGUGCUAGAUCGCCAUAGAAAUAUGGUUUCCCCUUUGGGGCUGGUUCACAGGUGGUGCAUGGUUGUCGUCAGCUCGUGUCGUGAGAUGUUGGGUUAAGUCCCGCAACGAGCGCAACCCUCGUUCUAUGUUGCCAGCACGUUAUGGUGGGGACUCAUAGGAGACUGCCGGGGUCAACUCGGAGGAAGGUGGGGACGACGUCAAAUCAUCAUGCCCCUUAUGUCUUGGGCUUCACGCAUGCUACAAUGGCCGGUACAAUGGGUUGCGAUACUGUGAGGUGGAGCUAAUCCCAAAAAGCCGGUCUCAGUUCGGAUUGGGGUCUGCAACUCGACCCCAUGAAGUCGGAGUCGCUAGUAAUCGCAGAUCAGCAACGCUGCGGUGAAUACGUUCCCGGGCCUUGUACACACCGCCCGUCAAGUCACGAAAGUUGGUAACACCCGAAGCCGGUGGCCUAACCCCUUGUGGGAGGGAGCCGUCGAAGGUGGGACUGGCGAUUGGGACUAAGUC